UUCUGCUGCUCAUAGUUCCUCCCUUCCAAAGAGUAUAGGCUGCAAGGAAGUAAAAAUACAGAAGUUUAUAGUGGAGAAACUGACAAACACGACCCUAGCCAAGUGAUCAAGUCAACAUCCAGAGUGGAAGUCCCACUGAUGAUGCGUGUCCCUGGCAUGCUGCGACGAGAAGUGUUCUUUACCUCUGUGAUCUUCCCAACAACCCACAACCUGGUGCACUGUGAGAAAACACCAGACAAGUUCCACAGGAGGGACAUUCCACAGAAUAUCUGGCCGCAACUUCUGAAAACCAUCAAGGCCCUUAAAACAAGGGAGGUCCGAGAAGCUGCCCCAGCCAGGAGACACCUAAAGAGGAACGGCACGUAAACGCAGUGUGGUAUCCGAAUGGAUUCCUGAAACAGAAAGCGAACGUUACUUAAAAGCUAAGAUAAUUCAAUAAGACUUUAGUGAAGAAGAAUAUGCCAAUAUUGGUCACUGAUUGUAAGAAAUGUCCAUACAAAGCUAAGAUGCUAACAGUAAGGAAAACGGGCUGUGGCCAUUUAUGGAGAUUCUCUACUAUUUUUAAACUUUAAAACAAAUUUUUAAAGUAGUCUAAAUUUGAAAAUUUAUUAAGAAUUCAUAAAAAUAUCUAUACCUAUGCUUGUCGAUUAGUAAAUAUAAUGUUAUUUUAUGCAACUUACAGAGCAAUGAAAUAUUAAACCCUAAAUAAAAAAGACAGAGCAGGUAGUAGUUGGGUAUAAAAAUCUAGAAGUCAGGUAAGAGGUUGGCCCUAGAGACCAAAGUGUAGAUUCCAAUCUUAUUCAAAAAGGGGAUUCAAAUAUGCAUGGUAUUUGAAUGCCAGGGACUGGGUGACAUCUCGUAGGCAGUAGUUUUUUGAGCUGGGGGUAAUUUUUCUCCGCAGAUGACGUUUGGCAAUGUCUGCAGAGAUUUUUGAUUGUUAGAACUCUAGGAGCUUGGAGUGCUAUGGCAUCUAGUAGAUAGAGGCCAGAGAUGUUGCAAAAUGUCCUACAGCCAGACAAUCUCCACAGCAAAUAAUUAUUUCAUACAAAAUGCCAGUGAUGUCAAGGUUGAGAAGUCUACAUAUGGUAUCAGAAUAGAUAGAGAAAGACGCAACACCUAAGAUAGACUCUUUGAUGUUACAAUUAAAGUUCAACAGAAGAAUAAGAAAGAAUAGCUGUAAAAAUAAAAGAAUGUGGAGAGAGCAGGAUAGAAAAAAAUGGAGGCAAUUCCUAACCAUGAAAGGACUGUUUUGAGAGUUGUUGAGAUGGGUGGUGAGUCUUGAAAAGGUGAUCAUUAACAUCACCUCUUUGUAUCAACCUUAGAGAAAUUCACACACAUUUAUACGAUAGAUUUAUAGUAGAAAUAUUUGCAGCAUUUGAAAUUGGAAAAAUUAGCAAAUAGACUAUUUUUGUAUGUAGCAGCUGUAAAAAUGAGCUUGAUCUAUCUGUAUUGAACACAGGCUUCUAAGGUGUACUAUUGAGUGAAUAAAGCUUGUGACUACAUAUACUGUAUAAUAACAUUCAUGUAACACAGAUAUACACAGCUUUGCAUUUUAUAUAGUUCUAUAGAUAUACAUGUAUGUAUUAAUAAAUGCACCCAAAUGUGUCAGGAAGCACAUUGAUCCAAUCACACUUUCCUCUGUGGUUGGAAGUCAGAUUGACACCCAAAAAUUAUUUAAGAAUUACCUGUUUGGUGUGUGCUGUUUGUAUACAAACUCUGGAGCCACACCACCUCAGGUCAAAUCCUGGCUCUCCCUUUUACUUGGUUUAUAAACCUGAGGGAUGUUCCUUAACUUUUCUGCCUCAGUUUGUUCAUCUUUAAAAUGGGGAUAAUAGUAGCUACUGCAGAAUCUUGUUGGGAAAAUAGGAGAGUUCAUGUUCAUAAAUUGAAAUAUGUACACAGUGGUUUGUCUAGGAAGCAUUGUCUGUGUUAGCUGUUGUUAUUAAGAAUAUGGUUAAAAUAAGUUAUUGAAUAAAUGAAAGACUCCCCUCUUUGUGUAACCAGCUCAAUCUUAUGCUCAUAAUUAGUGUAAAAAUGUGUAGGUAUCACUUUUCAUUCUAAUCUCAGUGACUAAUAACAAAGAACGGUAUGUUAUUCAAUAUGAAAACAUCCAUACAGCACCAACAACCAAAACAAAGUCUGACUGCGUACAUUCAUUCUUUUCACCUUAGGCAAGUAUGUUUAGAAAUCAGUCGGGGUCUACCCUGAGAUACUUAUCAAUUA
rnacentral:lncRNA from 1 species